rnacentral:lncRNA from 1 species
GGUGUUGGUUCUAGAGAAGAGCAGACUGAGAAAGCCAUGUGGAGCAAGCCAGUAAACAGCACUCCUCCACAGCCUCUGCAUCAGCUCCUGCUCCAGGUUCCUGCCUCAUGUUUGGCUGAAAGUGGAUAAAGCUCUAUUGUAAGAGACCCCGUGGGGUAGAAAGCAGGAAGAGCUGUGUAGUUUGAAGCAACAAGCCAGAAAGACAUAUCCUAUGUUCCUGGCCUGUGUGUACCUCUGUACCUGGGGACCAUUCAUGUUCCUUCAUGGACCAGAUCACAUCUACUGGCGUGGAGACCAGAGGCCAGAUUUAAGCUUUUCUUGCAGUCUCCGUGACAUUGGGCUGUAUGUGCCUCAUUAGAUGGGAUUCCAUCCAGUGCGUCCCAGGAACCGCCCUGCCAUCUCACUUAAGAUUCUUAGCAACCUAGUCCCCACCAAGGGAGAGGAAUCAGAGCCUGUGGUUGUAAUUCAUCACCUCGACCUUUCUCGCAACUCCUUUCUGGAUACAAGUAGUGGUGAUGACCUGCCUCCAGCUGGCCCUGAGGAUUCAACAGAGGAAUGGCAGCAAGACCCGACUACUGUCCAGGGGCUGCUGCUGACCGCGGUACAAAGCGAGCAGUGAAGGCGUACAAGAAGUCCGAGUGCCAUGCUACUGCAACUGAGCAUCCAGGCUAUGAAGUGCAAUCCGGCUACGCUGCCCAGCACCAGAACACAUGCUAGCUUCUGGUAGAGUUUGGACUAUAAAGAACCACCAGCUGGAGGCUCCUGGGUUUUGAGCGCUGGUAGCUCUCUGAAGCUUAAGUGAGGAUUUCUUGCAAUUCCCUUCUGUCUUGUCACAUGCUUAAAAACAAGUCAAAAACUUCACAGUUUUCACAGCUUGUAUAAUUUAACCAUUUGGGAUUCAUUUUAAAUUUGGGGCUAGUAUAACUCCUUGAUUGCAUUGAACUGUAAAGAGCCAAAAAAGGGGGGGAGGGGAGUAUCACAAAUUGGACUUGGCGCGCUUAAAAGACAAGAAAGAACAUGAAGUUGGGUGAGUAGGGAGGUGGGGGUAGCUCUCGGAGGAGUUGGCAGAGGGAAUGAAUAUUAUUAAAAUACAUUGUAUGAAACUGUCAAAUAAUAAAAA